AUGUCUGAUCUUGGCUCUCUUCGCUACUUUCUUGGGAUUGGGGUCUCUUCGACCUCUGACGCCUUUUUUAUUUCCCAAGAAAAGUAUACCCAGCAUCUUGCUCGUGCUGCUCUUACUGAUGAGCGCACUGUUGAGACUCCCAUGGAGCUCAAUGUUCACCUCCGUGCUUCUCAUGGUGACCCCUUGUCUAAUCCGGCGCUUUAUCGUCAUCUUGUUGGGACUCUUGUUGAUUUAGCUGUCACUCGUUCGGGUAUCUCCUAUCCUGUUCAUGUUUUGAGUCAGUUUGUUUUUGUGCCUACUUUGGUUCACUAG
rnacentral:rRNA from 1 species